CCGAUCAACGCCGCUUUUCAGCCUGUAUCCUGCGGAUAACAAAUAUAUCCGAUCGACGCCUUUCGGGCCAUCACUUCCGAGAGAUUUCCAGACGAAGAUCCGGCGACAGGUCGUCUCCUUCGCGGUGUCGGCAGAUUUUUUUUGGAGACGAAGCUACUUGCUUCUGUGACGAUGACAUCGGACCUCUGGCUUCUAUGCUUUAAAAAGGUUGUCAGGGUGAAGUUUUUGGGACACUCUCCUUUGGACAGGGUGAUCUUGAUUCUGAUUAUUUCUGGACGAACAAAUCGACUGUGAAAAAAGUGAUGCUUUCAAGAGGUUUGCAGGUCUGACUUUUGAGAUGCACAGAUUUGUGAGCUAAAUCGAUGAAGCUGUGAAGCAAAUCCGUAUGAUAUCGUAGAAUUUGGACUGAACACAAAGUUUAUCUUAAUCAUUUUCACUAAAGGAACCAAAUACUUGUAAGCCUCUAGUAUUAUCCUUAUUCUCGUAUGCGGCUUAUCUCGAAAAGAUAAAAUUGUGUAGAUUUAUUUAAAACAGAUAAUUUCUUACCAGUGUUCGCACUCUUGCAGGG